rnacentral:ncRNA from 1 species
UAUUAACCUGUGAUGAGAAAAGUACAGACUAUGAAGUCCAAGCGAGUGGGGAAUGGUGUGAGCCCAUGACUAAAAUUUUCUGGAAAAGGGCCUCGGAGGUUGCUUAUUGAGCCUAGCAAAAUAAGCACGGUAACCCCGUUAUAGGUUUCGAGUGAGUGCUAUGCACUAACAAGAGUGGUACCGCGGAUAAGCUCCGUCUCUUUU